AUAUCAGUAAGCGGAGGAAAAGAAACUAACAAGGAUUCCCCUAGUAACGGCGAGCGAAGCGGGAAGAGCACAAAUUUGGAAUCCGGGCAUAGCCCUGAAUUGUAGUCUAAAGACGGCGACCAAGGGUGCGUUGGGGAUCAAGUUCUCUGGAACGGGACGCCAAAGAGGGUGAGAGCCCCGUCUGGUCCUCCACAACCCCUUUAUGGGAGCCGCUCAAAGAGUCGAGUUGUUUGGGAGUACAGCUCAAAGCGGGUGGUAAAUCACAUCCAAGGCUAAAUAGCGGCAAGAGACCGAUAGCGCACAAGUA
rnacentral:rRNA from 1 species